AUGCAAGUCGAACGAGAAAGUGGAGCAAUCCAUGAGUACAGUGGCGACCGGGUGAGUAACACGUGACCAACCUGCCCUCGAGUGGGGAACAACAGCGGGAAACCGCUGCUGAUACCGCAUAACAUCCUCGGAUCGGAAGAACUGGGGAUCAAAGGAGCAAUCCGCUUGAGGAGGGGGUCGCGGCUGAUUAGCUAGUUGGCGGGGUAAUGGCCCACCAAGGCGAAGAUCGGUAGCCGGCCUGAGAGGGCGCACGGCCACACUGGAACUGAAACACGGUCCAGACUCCUACGGGAGGCAGCAGUGGGGAAUUUUGCGCAAUGGGGGAAACCCUGACGCAGCAACGCCGCGUGGAGGAUGAAGUCCCUUGGGACGUAAACUCCUUUCGACCAAGACGAUAAUGACGGUACUGGUGGAAGAAGCACCGGCUAACUCUGUG
rnacentral:rRNA from 1 species